CUCAAAACCAGUGUGUUGCGGAUCUCCAAUCACUAAAGAUCUUGUGCAUCAUUUUGGUGUCAAGGCAUCCCAGAUUUACUCAUUUUCCCUUUCUCCAAAACCUUAUUAUUUUUCUUUUUCUUUUUUUCUUUUCUUCUUUUUUUUCCUAACCAGGUCUGACUUGCGUAACAAGCCAGUAUAUAAAACUCCUCCCAAAGAGAGAGUUGCUUAGAGACACAUGAACACUCAGUACGAUAAAAUGAAUCUCAUUUCCCUAGUGUUGGUGAUAGCGAUGUGUGUAGCGGCAGUUCUGGCCAGUCCUGUCCCCGGAUAUCCAGUCUAUAACAACUAUAACCAUGGUUACGGUUAUCCCCACUACGCGGCUGUUUCUACUUACACCCCUACCACGAUCCACAUCAUCCGCCAACACUUUUCCCUUCCUUACGGAUCGUACAAUAGCUACUGGUAGUGAUGCUCUCCACAGUGUGUGACGACAUCGCGAUACGCCCGAACGACCUAAAGACUUUUCCCUCUUAACAUUUCCUAAUCAGGUUCUCACUACACCUUCCUACUCUUUAUUAAGCUACCUGUGAUCUAUUUAUCCUAUAUUCCAAUAUUUCUUUCAUUUGAAAUUAAAUCCAUAGAAAGAACUAC